rnacentral:lncRNA from 1 species
ACGCUCUCAGAAUGCUAGUCCUUUGGAACAACUAACUAUCACCAACUUUUGAUUAGAGAAAGAAGACAGAGAUCUUAUUCCUUGAAGAAAGCUAAGCAGUUCAAAGGAGAAAUGUGGGGAAAGGAGUACAUUCCAGGCCUGGGGGACCCUGCAAAGGCUCUGAGGCUCACGGAAGGGUGAAAGGAGCAGAACCAGGAGAACCUUAUACACAGAGACUGAUACACUGUGGCAAAUUGAACAUAAUGGACUUCUCUACUAGCAUCAGUGAUCCAGGACAAUU